UACGUAGGGUGCAAGCGUUGUCCGGAUUUAUUGGGCGUAAAGAGCUCGUAGGCGGUUUGUCGCGUCGGAUGUGAAAACCCAGGGCUCAACCCCGGGCCUGCAUUCGAUACGGGCAGACUAGAGUUCGGUAGGGGAGUCUGGAAUUCCUGGUGUAGCGGUGAAAUGCGCAGAUAUCAGGAGGAACACCGGUGGCGAAGGCGGGACUCUGGGCCGAUACUGACGCUGAGGAGCGAAAGCGUGGGGAGCAAACAGG
rnacentral:rRNA from 1 species